rnacentral:rRNA from 1 species
AUGCAGCGACGCCGCGUGAGGGAUGACGGCCUUCGGGUUGUAAACCUCUUUCAGUAGGGAAGAAGCGUAAGUGACGGUACCUGCAGAAGAAGCGCCGGCUAACUACGUGCCAGCAGCCGCGGUAAUACGUAGGGCGCAAGCGUUAUCCGGAAUUAUUGGGCGUAAAGAGCUCGUAGGCGGUUUGUCGCGUCUGCUGUGAAAGACCGGGGCUCAACUCCGGUUCUGCAGUGGGUACGGGCAGACUAGAGUGCAGUAGGGGAGACUGGAAUUCCUGGUGUAGCGGUGAAAUGCGCAGAUAUCAGGAGGAACACCGAUGGCGAAGGCAGGUCUCUGGGCUGUAACUGACGCUGAGGAGCGAAAGCAUGGGGAGCGAACAGGAUUAGAUACCCUGGUAGUCCAUGCCGUAAACGUUGGGCACUAGGUGUGGGGGACAUUCCACGUUUUCCGCGCCGUAGCUAACGCAUUAAGUGCCCCGCCUGGGGAGUACGGCCGCAAGGCUAAAACUCAAAGGAAUUGACGGGGGCCCGCACAAGCGGCGGAGCAUGCGGAUUAAUUCGAUGCAACGCGAAGAACCUUACCAAGGCUUGACAUGAACCGGAAAGACCUGGAAACAGGUGCCCCGCUUGCGGUCGGUUUACAGGUGGUGCAUGGUUGUCGUCAGCUCGUGUCGUGAGAUGUUGGGUUAAGUCCCGCAACGAGCGCAACCCUCGUUCUAUGUUGCCAGCGGUUCGGCCGGGGACUCAUA